GCAAGAUCUCCUGCCGAGUGCCCCAACCCCUACAUCCUAAUCAGAGGCAGGCAGGCAGGCAGGCAGGGUGUGGCUAGGCUGGGCUGGGCAGUUUAGGGGAAGGGUGUGGUUCCUUAGUGUCCCCCCGCCCCCACCCUCAGAAAUAUCCCAUUCUUGAGCCUCCAACAGCGCUCUGGGACCAAAAGAGAAGUAAGGAGUAGGCAAAUCAAAGGGGUAAGCCUUAUAUGUGUCCUGAGCUUUUGGGUGGGGUCCUGGGAUGGUUCUGGGUAGCACAGGUUCUUUCAUACCCUUCCAUUCAAGACAAGAGCCUUUCCUCCCAUGUUACAGAUGAGAUCUGGAAGUGGGGAAGGGCGUGUGUGCACAUGUGUAUGUGUGAGGAGCUUACUCAGUGAGAAUCUGUGUCUCACCCAUGAUCUUCAGGUGGGAAAGAGCAAGAAAAAGGUGCUUGCUUUUGUCCCCUUCAGGGUGUGGG
rnacentral:lncRNA from 1 species